GGAGGACAAGGAAGCGUGGAAGAAGAACCGAAGCUGCCGAAGCAACGUUCGCGGGAAGUCUAACCGCUUGAAGCACGUUGCAGAGUCGAGACCAGUUGAGCCACCGGAAUUUUACGAACGAUUAUGCAAGCGUACGUCUUGAGGACGACCAUGAGCCACAUAUCAUCUCAAAUUUCUGCCCGUCAAGCCUUGUGACGAAACGGAAUCGGACUUCUUCAAGGCGCGGAUCCUAAAGUUGUUUGGAUCGCAGAGUGACGCGGAAACCCAGUGACAGUAAGCGGGUGCUAGUACCUCCGACGAGAUGAGUGACUGCCCGGGAGGGCUGGAGGAAGCUUGUAUGAGACAGCUCAGCAAAGUCUGCGGAUCUGGUUAUGCUUCCUGUACGAGACAGAUCACGAAGCGGUUGCUGACUGACCAGUUGGGGCGAAAAUUUUUGUGGGAAGGACGCAAGAGAAAGUUGACAUUCAGGAAUCUUCACCUUGCUGAGUGCAUCAUAAAUGCAGUGCAGAGCUGCCAUAAAUGUGAAGACUUCAAGGUAGAAACCAUGGUCACGGAUUAACUUCGCCACGCACCUGCCUGACAUGAGUCAUCUCAAAUGGAACAUUCUGCACCA
rnacentral:lncRNA from 1 species